GUACCCCUACUCUUUGUAGAACUACUCUCUUUGUCGAGAGAUAUGGUAUAUUGUGUUGUAAAUAGAGGCUGUGAAAAAAGCAUUGUUUACAGCAUCCUUUUUCCAAGAUUUGUAAUUAUUUGACUCUUUUUCUUUGGUGACACACAUCAUAUUUUUUCUUUUCUCUGAGCUUAGAAGCCUUUUUUGUUUAUUUUAAAUUUCACUAAAUCCUUGAAGUUUUCAGUUAAUUACCUUCUUGGUUGUCAAUUUUCUUUCAAGGGUUUGAAUUGUACUUAUUUGUGGGUAAGAUCUGCUAUACUGAAAGAUUGUUAAAAAAUCUUCAGACAGCAUCUCAUUUGAG
rnacentral:misc_RNA from 1 species